rnacentral:tRNA from 9 species
GGAGAGAUGGCUGAGUGGCUAAAAGCAGCGGUUUACUAAACCGCCAGACUCGCAAGGGUCUCGUGGGUUCGAAUCCCACUCUCUCCG